GACGAACGCUGGCGGCGUGCUUAACACAUGCAAGUCGAACGGAAAGGCCCUGCUUUUGUGGGGUGCUCGAGUGGCGAACGGGUGAGUAACACGUGAGUAACCUGCCCUUGACUUUGGGAUAACUUCAGGAAACUGGGGCUAAUACCGGAUAGGAGCUCCUGCUGCUUGGUGGGGGUUGGAAAGUUUCGGCGGUUGGGGAUGGACUCGCGGCUUAUCAGCUUGUUGGUGGGGUAGUGGCUUACCAAGGCUUUGACGGGUAGCCGGCCUGAGAGGGUGACCGGCCACAUUGGGACUGAGAUACGGCCCAGACUCCUACGGGAGGCAGCAGUGGGGAAUAUUGCACAAUGGGCGGAAGCCUGAUGCAGCAACGCCGCGUGCGGGAUGACGGCCUUCGGGCUGUAAACCGCUUUCGCCUGUGACGAAGCGUGAGUGACGGUAAUGGGUAAAGAAGCACCGGCUAACUACGUG
rnacentral:rRNA from 1 species